rnacentral:rRNA from 1 species
UACGUAGGGUGCAAGCGUUAAUCGGAAUUACUGGGCGUAAAGCGUGCGCAGGCGGUUGUGCAAGACAGAUGUGAAAUCCCCGGGCUCAACCUGGGAACUGCAUUUGUGACUGCACGGCUGGAGUGCGGCAGAGGGGGAUGGAAUUCCGCGUGUAGCAGUGAAAUGCGUAGAUAUGCGGAGGAACACCGAUGGCGAAGGCAAUCCCCUGGACCUGUACUGACGCUCAUGCACGAAAGCGUGGGGAGCAAACAGG